rnacentral:rRNA from 1 species
GAUGAACGCUAGCGGCAGGCUUAAUACAUGCAAGUCGAGGGGCAGCAGUCCCGUAGCAAUACGGGAGCUGGCGACCGGCAAACGGGUGCGGAACACGUACGCAACUUUCCUUCAAGUGAGGAAUAGCCCAGGGAAACUUGGAUUAAUACCUCGUAAUAUUAUGAAGUGGCAUCACUUUAUAAUUAUAGCUCCGGCGCUUGAAGAUGGGCGUGCGCCUGAUUAGGUAGNGGUCGGGGUAACGGCCCACCCAAGCCUGCGAUCAGUAACUGGUGUGAGAGCACGACCAGUCACACGGGCACUGAGACACGGGCCCGGACUCCUAC